CUCAUCGCUGACUUUUCUCGACAGAAUCCAAAUGACUCUGAAGUAGAACUGACCAAGAAGGGCCAAACCGAUAAACUGCCCGGCGUACAAAAGGGCGCAGAGUCUCUCAAGGUGGACCCGCGAGCUAAGACGCCGCCUCCGCUGCGACCGGCGCCUCCCCGGGCCCCGCCGGGCCAAGUCCGAAACAACGUGGCCCAGAA